rnacentral:rRNA from 1 species
AUUGAACGCUGGCGGCAGGCCUAACACAUGCAAGUCGGGCGAGCGGCGGACGGGUGAGUAAUGUCUGGGGAUCUGCCUGGUGGUGGGGGAUAACUACGGGAAACGGUAUCUAAUACGGCAUACCAUCAUGUGACACCAUAUGGGAUUAGCUAGUAGGUGAGGGCACGGCUUACCUAGGCGACGAUCCCUAGCUGGUCUGCGAGGAUGAGCACGCAAAAUGGGACGGCGACACGGGGCGGAGGCCUACGGGAGCCAGCACUGGGGAAUAUGGGACAAGGUGGGUAAGCAUGAUGAAGACAUGACGAGUGUAUGAAGAAGGCCUUCGGUUUGUAAAGUACGUUCAGUCUGGAGGCGUUACCGACAGAAGAAGCACCGGCGACCUCCGUGCCAGCAGCCGCGGUAAUAC